rnacentral:rRNA from 1 species
UGAGGAAUAUUGGUCAAUGGACGAGAGUCUGAACCAGCCAAGUAGCGUGAAGGAUGACUGCCCUAUGGGUUGUAAACUUCUUUUAUACGGGAAUAAAGUGAGGCACGUGUGCCUUUUUGUAUGUACCGU